UAGAGACAGACAGACGCCUGAAUCGUUCCUCCGUAGUUAAUAAUUACUUAUAAUUAUUGAGUCAUACGGAGCCAAAAGCAUCUUCCUUCCAUGGAGUCGCCGGAGUCAACCGCCGCCGAGAAAAUCAUCCUCCGUUGGGACUCAGAGGAGUCGCGCGACAGCAUGAUCUUCGCCAGCAACGACCGCCUCGAAAUCGACAGGUAUCUCGACGCCGUCGAUGAGCUCCAGAAAUCCAUGUCAUCCACAACCAUAUCCGAUUCCUCCUCCUCUUCGUCCUCCUCCACCUCCACGCUUCAGAUCGCCAUGGCUCGCCUCGAGGACGAGUUUCGCAACAUCCUCCUUUCUCAUACUUCGCCCAUCGAAGCGGACUCGCUCAGCGAGUCGACUCACUCCGAGUUCGCUUCUCAGGAAUUCGAUUUGAAGGAAGAUCAGGUUGCGGAGACGAUUCUGGAUAAGAAUUUUGAGCAUCAGGAGAGCAAUAGCAGCACCACCAGCAGCUGCUACAAGUCGACCAGCAGUAUCCGAGAAGUAGAUCUUAUCCCAAGCGACGCUGUCUAUGACCUUCGCUGCAUCGCAGAGCGGAUGAUUUCAGCCGGAUACUUGCGCGAGUGUAUUCAGGUGUACGCGAGCGUGCGCAAAUCGGCCGUCGACGCCAGUUUGAAGAAGCUGAAUGUCGAGAAAUUGAGCAUCGGCGAUAUUCAGCGCCUCGAGUGGGAGACGCUCGAGACGAAGAUCCGACGCUGGAUUCGCGCAGCUAAGAUUUGCGUUCGCGUGCUCUUCGCCAGCGAAAGGCGCCUCUGCGAGCACAUCUUCGAUGGCUUAGGAACUUCCGUGGAGGAUUCGUGUUUCAUGGAAACAAUAAAAGGUCCUGCAAUUCAGCUCUUUAAUUUUGCAGAAGCAAUUAGCAUCAGUAGGCGAUCGCCUGAGAAACUGUUUAAGAUACUUGAUUUGCACGAUGCCUUGUCUGAUUUGUUGCCCGACAUCGACACCGUCUUUGAGUCAAAAUCAAGUGAGUCUGUUCGAGUACAGGCUGUUGAAAUACUCUCCAGAUUGGCAGAGGCAGCAAGAGGUAUAUUGUCAGAAUUUGAAAAUGCAGUCCUUCGUGAGCCUUCAAGAGUUCCUGUUCCUGGAGGAACAAUUCAUCCCCUGACCAGAUAUGUGAUGAAUUACAUCAGUUUAAUUUCAGAUUAUAAGCAGACUUUAGUCGAGUUGAUUGUGUCGAAGCCGUCAACAGGACCAAGAUAUUCGAGUGAUCCUAAUCUACCUGAUAUGGAUCUCUCUGAGUUUGAAGGCCAGCGUUCAACUUUGGCACUCCAUUUGAUUUGGAUUAUUGCAAUUUUGCAGUUCAAUCUUGAUGGCAAAUCUAAGCACUACAAGGAUGAUUCUCUGGCUCAUUUGUUUAUGAUGAACAAUGUUCAUUAUAUUGUUCAGAAGAUUAAAGGCUCUUCUGAGUUGAGAGAGAUGAUUGGGGAUGAUUAUUUGAAAAGGUUAACAGGGAAAUUUCGAUUAGCUGCAACUAGUUAUCAGCGGGCGACUUGGGUGAGAGUUUUGUAUUGCUUAAGAGAUGAAGGUUUGCAUGUCAGUGGAAGUUUCUCAUCUGGUGUGUCUAAAAGUGCUUUGAGGGAUAGGUUUAAGGCCUUCAAUGGUAUGUUUGAGGAGGUGCAUAGAACUCAGUCGACAUGGUUAGUGCCCGAUCCUCAGUUGCGGGAGGAGCUGAGAAUUUCAAUAUCAGAAAAAGUCCUCCCUGCUUACCGAUCCUUUCUUGGAAGGUUCAGAAGUCAUAUCGAGAGUGGGAGACAUCCAGAGAAUUACAUCAAGUAUUCAGUUGAGGAUCUUGAGAAUGCAGUGUUGGAUUUCUUCGAGGGACACCCACCGAUGUCUCAACAUUUGAGAAGGAGAUCGCAGUGACCGAACUCAGAUUGAGUUUUGCCAUGUAGAACUUAGCACACAAUUCUUUCAAUUUUUUACUCUCCAAAUUGUUCAGGGUAUGUCUGCCUAAGAUGUUGGAUGCGAUCGAGCAGCUACAACAGCAGCAGCAGCAGCCACCGCCGCUUCCCGAGUGCUUCUGCCUCGAAAAGGACGUGGGUAUAGGUUUUUCAAGUUUAUCUACCUUUGCAACAAAGGGGAAAGUGAAAUCGAAUUCCAGGCCAGCAAGGUUUGGGGGGGGAACCCUCAAGGGGGUCAUAAUUUAUUCCUCAAUCUUCUCUACUACUACUCAAGUGUGAUCUCUUAACUUAUUUGGUAAUUCGUCACUACUCUUAAAUCUGGAUUUUUGCUACUUUGGGGCUAUUAUAAAUCUGGUAUGCAUUCCGCGGCAGUGAUUAAUGUUUUUGUUUUGAUUCAAUAUAGCUUAAUUGAAUUACUCAGCAACAUAUUCUUAUGUAGUUAUGCCCAUCAAAGGACCUCAAAAUGCUAAUCCACAGAAAACGAUCCGAAAAAAUUCCAGAGAACUGGCAUGAGAGCGACCCGUGGAAAUUCCAUUGGGUUCAAGGGCAAUCCAAAACAUCCCAAAUUAAAUAUUUUAAAUUUAAAAAUUAUUAAUUAUGGUGAUUCAUUUUUAAUUCCUGUCACAUUAGUACAAUGAAUACUGGGCAGCGGAAAAUAAAAAUAAGUUCCAAAGAAACAACUCGGUUGACAAUACGAAAAAUUGGAAACUAAAAGCCUGUAGAAAUAUCUAAUUGGAUGGUUGGAUUCCAAUCCACACAUGAAAAUACUGUAAAAAUAUAAUAGACUGUAAAAUAUUAUCCCUAAUUCCCAUUAUUUGCCAUCCCUAAUUCCCAUGACUUCCACCAAGAA